AGGACGAACGCUUGCGACGUGCCUAAGAAAUGCAAGUCGAACGGAUCAGCAGCAAUGCUGGUUAGUGGCGAACGGUCGCGUAACACGUGGGCAACCUGCCCUGAAGCGGGGGACAACAAGCCGAAAGGUUUGCUAAUACCGCAUGUGGAUCGCCUCGGCAUCGAGGAUUAUCCAAAGCAGCAAUGCACUUCAGGAUGGGCCCGCGGCCUAUCAGCUAGUUGGAGGGGUAACGGCCCACCAAGGCUUCGACGGGUAGCUGGUCUGAGAGGACGAUCAGCCGGAUUGGGACUGAGAUACGGCCCAGACUCCUACGGGGGGUCAGCAAUUAGGAAUCUUGCACAAUGGGCGAAAGCCUGAUGCAGCGACGUCGCGUGGGGGAUGAAAUCUUUCGGGAUGUAAACCCCUUUGUCAGGGAAGAACAAUGACGGUACCUGACGAAUACGCCCCGGCUAACUACGUGCCAGCAGCCGCGGU
rnacentral:rRNA from 1 species